rnacentral:rRNA from 1 species
CCAAUAGCGUAUAUUAAAGUUGUUGCAGUUAAAAAGCUCGUAGUUGAAUUUCGGGAUCAGUACGCUGGUCGUGCCUCCGGUAUGUACUGGUGUCACUGAUUCCUCCCUUCUGAAGAACCAUCAUGCCAUUAAUUUGGUGUGGUGGGGAAUCAGGACUGUUACUUUGAAAAAAUUAGAGUGUUUAAAGCAGGCUCGCGCUUGAAUACAUUAGCAUGGAAUAAUGAAAUAGGACGUUUAUCCUAUUUUGUUGGUUUCUAGGAUUGACGUAAUGAUUAAUAGGGAUAGUUGGGGGCAUUAGUAUUCAAUUGUCAGAGGUGAAAUUCUUGGAUUUAUUGAAGACUAACUACUGCGAAAGCAUUUGCCAAGGAUGUUUUCAUUAAUCAAGAACGAAAGUUAGGGGAUCGAAGACGAUCAGAUACCGUCGUAGUCUUAACCAUAAACUAUGCCGACUAGGGAUCGGAUGAUGUUAAUUUUUUAAUGACUCAUUCGGCGCCUUACG